GGGCGUAUAGCUCCAACGGUAGAGCGGCUGAUUCCAAAUCAGUAGGUUUAAGGUUCGAAUCCUUAUGCGCCCGCCA
rnacentral:tRNA from 4 species